ACACGCACCGAUGCACAGCCUUGUACGUGAUCAUUACGUCUCCGAUUUGUCGCCUUGUGUCACGUGAAACUGUGGUUAACAUGCAUUACAUACGGAAACGCUGUUAUCCGUUAAAUAUAUAUAAAAGAAAAAAGGGAAAAAAGGAAGAAAAGAAGGAAAGUGAAGGGAAAGGGGAAAAUUUAAUUGGCUAGUAGUGAGUGGCGGAGAAAGCUUAAGCGUCGACGUACGGCAAGUUACUAAAUUAUUCGUCAGAUCACGGGAUGUCUGCACGAGCCUUAAUAUCUUGCUGUAUAGCAAAAUCGUAGCUUGCAAGUUCCGCAUAGCGGAAGUCAAGUUACAGGAGAUAUUCGUACGAAAGGAAUGAUUAGUGAAGACUAUUGGGAAAUUGUCUGUCGGUGCAUAUUCCUUGUUUAGCAACAUUAUCAGUUGUGCCAGCAUUGUGACAAUCAACAGUAACAGCAACUCAAAAUAUGCUAAUAGAGUGUCUCUAAAUUCCACAUUUGCAGUUUUGUAAAUUUCGAUAAAGCGUAGAAU
rnacentral:misc_RNA from 1 species